rnacentral:pre_miRNA from 1 species
AAAAAGACAAACUCUGGUUUCCGUGCCCAACGUUUGACCGUCCGUCUUAUUUGAAAAAAUUAUGAAAAAAAUUAAAAAGACAAGUCACGCAUAAAAUAUUAAUCAUGUUUUAUCAUCUAACAACAAUGAAAAUACGAAUUAUAAAACAAUUUCAUAUAAGAUGGACAAUUAAAGUUGGACACGGAAAUUCAGGGUUUGCCUUUUU